GACGAAGGAUGCAAGCGUUAUCCGGAUUCAUUGGGUUUAAAGGGAGCGUAGGUGGCCUUAUAAGUCAGUGGUGAAAUCUCUCGGCUUAACCGAGAAAUUGCCAUUGAUACUGCAGGGCUUGAGUAUAGUUGCCGUUGGCGGAAUAUGACAUGUAGUGGUGAAAUACAUAGAGAUGUCAUAGAACACCGAUUGCGAAGGCAGCUGACGAAACUAUAACUGACACUGAGGCUCGAAAGUGCGGGGAUCAAACAGG
rnacentral:rRNA from 1 species